CCACUGGAACGGUGGCUAAUACCGGAUGUGCCGGAAGGUGAAAGGCUUGCUGCCUGAAGAUGAGCUCGCGUCCGAUUAGCUAGUAGGUGGGGUAAGAGCCUACCUAGGCGACGAUCGGUAGCUGGUCUGAGAGGAUGACCAGCCACACUGGGACUGAGACACGGCCCAGACUCCUACGGGAGGCAGCAGUGGGGAAUUUUCCGCAAUGGGCGAAAGCCUGACGGAGCAAUACCGCGUGAGGGAGGAAGGCUCUUGGGUUGUAAACCUCUUUUCUCAGGGAAGAACACAAUGACGGUACCUGAGGAAUCAGCAUCGGCUAACUCCGUGCCAGCAGCCGCGGUAAUACGGAGGAUGCAAGCGUUAUCCGGAAUGAUUGGGCGUAAAGCGUCCGCAGGUGGCUGUGUAAGUCUGCUGUCAAAGAGCAAAGCUCAACUUUGUAAAGGCAGUGGAAACUACACGGCUAGAGUGCGUUCGGGGCAGAGGGAAUUCCUGGUGUAGCGGUGAAAUGCGUAGAGAUCAGGAAGAACACCGGUGGCGAAGGCGCUCUGCUAGGCCGCAACUGACACUGAGGGACGAAAGCUAGGGGAGCGAAAGGGAUUAGAUACCCCUGGUAGUCACC
rnacentral:rRNA from 1 species